AUGCCUAACACAUGCAAGUCGAACGAACCCUUCGGGGUUAGUGGCGCACGGGUGCGUAACGCGUGGGAAUCUGCCCAAAGGUUCGGAAUAACAGUUAGAAAUGACUGCUAAUACCGGAUGAUGUCGCAAGACCAAAGAUUUAUUGCCUUUGGAUGAGCCCGCGUAGGAUUAGCUAGUUGGUGGGGUAAAGGCCUACCAAGGCGACGAUCCUUAGCUGGUCUGAGAGGAUGAUCAGCCACACUGGGACUGAGACACGGCCCAGACUCCUACGGGAGGCAGCAGUGGGGAAUAUUGGACAAUGGGCGAAAGCCUGAUCCAGCAAUGCCGCGUGAGUGAUGAAGGCCUUAGGGUUGUAAAGCUCUUUUACCCGGGAUGAUAAUGACAGUACCGGGAGAAUAAGCUCCGGCUAACUCCGUGCCAGCAGCCGCGGUAAUACGGAGGGAGCUAGCGUUGUUCGGAAUUACUGGGCGUAAAGCGCGCGUAGGCGGCUUUGUAAGUUAGAGGUGAAAGCCCGGGGCUCAACCCCGGAAUUGCCUUUAAGACCGCAUCGCUUGAAUCCGGGAGAGG
rnacentral:rRNA from 1 species